rnacentral:tRNA from 1 species
AGAAAUAUGUAUAGUGGUAUGAUUCUCGCUUUGGGUGUGGGAGGUCUCGAGUUCAACUCUCGAAAUGCCUC